rnacentral:ncRNA from 2 species
UAAAUUCUUCGGGGCAGGGUGUAAUUCCCGACCGACGGUAAAUGAUGUCUAUAUCAAAGUCCGUGAGCCAUUUUAAAUGGUUGAGCUAGUGUGAAUCUAGCACCGACAGUUAAAGUCUGGAUGGGAGAAGAAUUAA